rnacentral:lncRNA from 1 species
CAUCCCGUUCGCAUAAACCUAUAAAUACGUAAAUAUUUUCAUCAAUGUUUCAACCCACAAAACCAUUCAGUGUUUCCUAUAGCAACUUCAAUAUACGUUCAUUAACGCUCCUUCUACAAAUCAACCAUCAUGAGUUCUAAAAACAUUAUUCAAAGUACUCUUUGCCACACCACAAGACCUGCUCCUCGUACCAAUAACACCAAUUCUUCCUCCUCAAGAUCUUCAUCCACAGCUACUAUUCAGAAGGUCUUUUCAAGGAAGUAUGAGAAGAAGAAAUAAGAGCAAUUUCUCCUUCAUUACGUUCUUUUUCUUCUAAACAUUUCAUAUUAUUUCAUUACACAUUUAUUCUUUAUGUAUUCACUUACGUUCCGUCUCAUCCAUUGUAUUCUAAACAGAUUAUUUUCAUUAAUUCAAUAGUUCAUAUUCAGUUUGAUACAUUAAUAGCAUCAAAUGUUCUUUUCUUACAUUCAUUUAAAC